ACGGUCCUAAGGUAGCGAAAUUCCUUGUCGGGUAAGUUCCGACCUGCACGAAUGGCAUAAUGAUGGCCACACUGUCUCCUCCUGAGACUCAGUGAAGUUGAAAUGUUUGUGAUGAUGCAAUCUCCCCGCGGCUAGACGGAAAGACCCCAUGAACCUUUACUGCAGCUUUGCAUUGGACUUUGAACCGAUCUGUGUAGGAUAGGUGGGAGGCAGUGAAGCUAGGACGCCAGUCUUAGCGGAGCCAACCUUGAAAUACCACCCUGAUUUGUUUGAGGUUCUAACCUAGGAGCGUAAUCCGCUUCGGGGACCGUGCAUGGCAGGCAGUUUGACUGGGGCGGUCGCCUCCUAAAGGGUAACGGAGGAGUGCGAAGGUACGCUAGGUACGGUCGGAAAUCGUGCUGAUAGUGCAAUGGCAAAAGCGUGCUUGACUGCGAGACCGACAAGUCGAGCAGAUACGAAAGUAGGUCAUAGUGAUCCGGUGGCUCUGCAUGGAAGGGCCAUCGCUCAACGGAUAAAAGGUACUCUGGGGAUAACAGGCUGAUACCGCCCAAGAGUUCAUAUCGACGGCGGUGUUUGGCACCUCGAUGUCGGCUCAUCGCAUCCUGGGGCUGUAGCCGGUCCCAAGGGUAUGGCUGUUCGCCAUUUAAAGAGGUACGUGAGCUGGGUUUAAAACGUCGUGAGACAGUUUUGUCCCUAUCUGCCGUGGGCGUUGGAAGAUUGACGGGGGCUGCUCCUAGUACGAGAGGACCGGAGUGGACUCACCUCUGGUGUACCGGUUGUCACGCCAGUGGCAUCGCCGGGUAGCUAUGUGGGGAAAGGAUAACCGCUGAAAGCAUCUAAGCGGGAAACCUGCCUGAAGAUAAGUCUUCCUGGAGGCUUUGACCUCCCUGAAGAGUCGUUCGAGACCAGGACGUUGAUAGGUUGGAUGUGCAAGCGCUGUGAGGCGUUGAGCUGACCAAUACUAAUUGCUCGUGAAGCUUGAUCCU
rnacentral:rRNA from 1 species